UACAGAGGUCUCAAGCGUUGUUCGGAUUCAUUGGGCGUAAAGGGUGCGUAGGCGGCGCGGUAAGUCGGGUGUGAAAUCUUGGAGCUUAACUCCGAAACUGCAUUUGAUACUGCGGUGCUUGAGGACUGGAGAGGAGACUGGAAUUCACGGUGUAGCAGUGAAAUGCGUAGAGAUCGUGAGGAAGACCAGUGGCGAAGGCGGGGUCUCUGGACAGUUCCUGACACUGAGGCAGCGAAGGCCAGGGGAGCAAACGGGG
rnacentral:rRNA from 1 species